rnacentral:tRNA from 1 species
ACCUGACUGGGUCAGUCGGAAGAGCAUGUGACUCUUGAUCUCUGGGUCAUGAGUUCAAGCCCCAUGUUGGGUG